GUGCUUGUUUUGGCAGCACAUACACUAAAAUUGCAAUAAUACAGAGAAGUUUAACAUGGUCCCUACACAAGAAUGACACACAAAUUCGUGGAGCAUUGAUCCAUAUUUUU
ensembl:snRNA U6 U6 spliceosomal RNA